GAAAUGGCUUUUUCAAAAGCCACCAUUCAAUGCAAAAAAAUAUUUU
rfam:Myotis davidii contig221289, whole genome shotgun sequence.